GUUUUCACAUUCCUAAGUGUUUCCCUCGUUUCCGCCCAAAGAAUGCCCUAAUCCUCUCUUCAUUUGGAGUUUGCCGACCAUCCGAUUAAAAACAAAAUCGACGUUGGAUUUCCAUUUCGUUUUCCCCAAAAUUGAGAGGCGUUUUCACAUUCCUGAGUGUUCCCUCGUUUCCGCCCAAAGAAUGCCCUAAUCCUAUCUUCAUCUGGAGUUUCCCGGCCAUCCGAUUUUAGGUGUAAACGGUGGAGUUUUUCAUCUCUGUCAAUCCAUUGGUGUCGACGAUCACCACCGGAUUUGGGUUCUACACAGGAUGAAGCCAAGGCACCACAACCAGAGAAUGUGUUGAACAUCAGAUAUGGAAUUGCUGGUAAUAGAACAAUCGGAGCUCAUACGCCUGUCACUGUGGAACCUGCUGGAUCUGAGGGUUCUACACAGGAUUUAAUCUUCAGGAGUGCUCUUGUUUUACAGAGACCUGUGAUGGAUCCGUGCCUUGCAGUUGGUUUUCUUCCUCUUUCUUCAGAAGACUUUAGAGUUGGGUAGCUAGUAACCAUGAAAUGAAGAGUUGAAAGGUUGAAGGAUUUUGAUGAGAAUGCAGUUUCUCAAAACAAUGAUGAGGUAUUAUACGAAGUCAAUGCAAAUUCUGAGAAUUGGAUGAUUGUCGAGAGGAAGAGAGGCCAUGUAUCACUCUCAACAAAGCAAGGUUCGAGGAUAGUUAUUUCUAUUUUGUGCAUGCCACUGAUGGCCGGAUACGUACAUCCCCCAAAGCUUGGGCUUCCAAACGUUGAUGAGGCAAAUAUAAGUUGUAACCCUGCUGGUCCCCACCUGGUCUGUGUUUUGCCUCCUGUUUUCAGCUCUUCUUUCUGUAUUCCAGCAUGAUUAUUCAAGUUCAUCAUCCAUUUCCAUUAUGGUUGGAUUGGGGUUUUUCUUUUCUUUUCUUUUCAUUUCAUUUCAUUUCAUUUCAUUUCAUAAAAAAAUUAUAAUGAUAGAUAUAGAUAUUAGAUAUCCGAUUUUUGUUUAACGUUGAGAUUUGUAAAUCUGUAAUUUUACCCCCAACAGCCCACCAAGAUCCACACAUCCCAACUGCUUGGUGGUUGAUUGUAUUUUUGUUUGCUUUUCAAUUUUCAGAAAAUCAAGAGAACUCUCAUUUGAAUUGAA